UUAAAAAAUUAAAAAUUGGCAUUUAAAUUGUCAGUACGUUCGGCCAUUUUGGUUGCCGGAUACGCGUGAGAAGAGUGUCUAAAAGUUAAUGUCUGUUGGUGAUUGAUCGACGAUUACGGGAUUUUUGACCGUUGUCAAAGCUUCAAAAGCAUCGCUCCUAGAGUUUUGCCAGUCUAGGCUUGACAUCCAGCGUGAAGAAUGGACCUAUUACAAUGUAUUUGCGCUCUGUGAACUGUGCAAAGCUAGCGGUAUGCAUUUGCAAGGCAUUACACGACACGCUGAUUUUUGCAUUGAUACACUACAUCUUGGAGGAAUAUCCACGAGAGCUCUACGUGCGUGAUGGUUUCAUGGGCGUCCUCACCGUGAAGGAGUUGCUUCAAAGUACAUGCCGUCAGGUGCUGAACUUUGUGGAUUACUGCAGUCAUGUCUUUCUGCAUUUUUGAGCCAACUGCUUUGGUGGCAGUUCUUGCACUUGACCCUCCCAUUCAUGAGGACAUUCACAAAGUAGUGCUUGGCAGGUUGGAUAUGCAGAAGGCUGAUUUGCUCCUUACAUACUGGGCAAAGAACUGUUGAAGAUGAAGAUUUGGAAAACAGCUCUUCUAAGCAUUCCAAUCAACCAAUGUGCUCACACUGUGUUUCGGUAGAUCUGUUGAAGAUUUUGCAGUAGUACUUGCAAAUGAAAGAACUAUCAUCUGACUGAAAAUUCUGCCCCAUUGCCGGAGUCGUUGUUUGCCUAAGCCACUCGAAGUUCCUCUGCACAGUUGCCUUGGCAACUGUGCAUAAGACGAACUGUGUCAUAAGACGAGCAUGUUUCCCUUUCGAAGGACGACCACCUCUUUUGGAAAUGUUCACCUUGUCACAAAUGAAGCAGGGGGUUGUUGGAGGGUUGGGGGCCAAUCCUUUGGCACAGGGUGUUUCUUUGCAAGAUAAAGAUUUGAACUGCAAAGAUGGCACAUGAAGGGUGGGUGGCAAUGUGGCCCAUCGGUUUCUACAUUGAUUUUAUACUUUGCUUGUAUCUUCUCUUGAUUUUCUGAGCAAGGCUUAGGUUGUCUGUUAUGGAUUUUCCAUGGAUGAACUCUGUCACCACAUAUUCUGUAUAAUUUGUGGAGAUUGUCUAUGUAAUCAAAGAGCCACUUUCCAAUAGUCUGUCAAUUAAAAGUAAUAAAUUUACAUGCCUGUAUCCUUGAAA